rfam:Dipodomys ordii contig_6151, whole genome shotgun sequence.
GGUGGCUCAGUGGUAGGGCGCUUGCCUUGCAUGCAUGAGGCCUUGCAUGCAUGAGGCCCUAGGUUCGAUUCCCUAGCACCA